rnacentral:rRNA from 1 species
AGCAUCCGCGGUAAUUCCAGCUCCGAUAGCGUAUAUUAAAGUUGUUGCAGUUAAAAAGCUCGUAGUUGAAUUUCGGGAUCAAUUAAUUGGUCGUGCCUCUGGUACGUACUGAUUUUAUUGGUUUCUCCCUUCUGACGAACCAUGAUGUCAUUAAUUUGGUGUCGUGGAGAAUCAGGACUGUUACUUUGAAAAAAUUAGAGUGUUUAAAGCAAGCUAACGCUUGAAUACAUUAGCAUGGAAUAAUGAAAUAGGACGUUUGAUCCUAUUUUGUUGGUUUCUAGGAUCGACGUAAUGAUUAAUAGGGAUAGUUGGGGGCAUUAGUAUUCAAUUGUCAGAGGUGAAAUUCUUGGAUUUAUUGAAGACUAACUACUGCGAAAGCAUUUGCCAAGGAUGUUUUCAUUAAUCAAGAACGAAAGUUAGGGGAUCGAAGACGAUCAGAUACCGUCGUAGUCUUAACCAUAAACUAUGCCGACUAGGGAUCGGAUGAUGUUAAUUUAAUGACUCA